UGGGGAUAUUGCACAAUGGGGGAAACCCUGAUGCAGCGACGCCGCGUGGAGGAAGAAGGUUUUCGGAUUGUAAACUCCUGUCGUUAGGGACGAUAAUGACGGUACCUAACAAGAAAGCACCGGCUAACUACGUGCCAGCAGCCGCGGUAAAACGUAGGGUGCAAGCGUUGUCCGGAAUUACUGGGUGUAAAGGGAGCGCAGGCGGGAAGACAAGUUGGAAGUGAAAACCAUGGGCUCAACCCAUGAAUUGCUUUCAAAACUGUUUUUCUGAGUAGUGCAGAGGUAGAUGGAAUUCCCGGUGUAGCGGUGGAAUGCGUAGAUAUCGGGAGGAACACCAGUGGCGAAGGCGGUCUACUGGGCACCAACUGACGCUGAGGCUCGAAAGCAUGGGUAGCAAACAGGAUUAGAUACCCUGGUAGU
rnacentral:rRNA from 1 species